rnacentral:tRNA from 1 species
AGUCGCGUGGCCGAGAGGAUAGGCGAGGGUCUGCAAAACCCUUCACGGCGGUUCGAAUCCGCCCGCAACGUCAA